rfam:Anolis carolinensis chromosome 1, whole genome shotgun sequence.
UUAUUAAAUUCUAAUAUCCUAAAAACACCAGAUCCUAUCUGAUGUUCGAAGCUCAGCAGGAUUAGCCUUGGUUCCUACUUGAAAGGGAGACUGCCAAUGAAUACCAGGUACUUUAGGCU